UCUUUCCCCGGGGAUGUGCAGGAUUACUGUGAAAUUAUGACUCGUCAUCCUGCAAAUUACCAAUGGGAAAAUUGAAGUCUAGAAAUUAUUGCAGCCAUUUUAGCCCACCGGUUCCCCAAUAGCUGUAUUUGGGUGAUAAAGUGCUCCCGAGCACAUUUGCACAAAUUCAGCUGCCAUGAUAGUUUUCUGAAAAGUAACAUGUUUGGUUUCCCAGAAGGCAAUACAGAAUCUGCAGCUUUUAAACACAUUUAUAUGUUAUUAAUGCUUUUAAGUGAGAGUAAUUUAUCAAAGAAAAAUUUGAAUGAUUGGAGUAAGGACUCCACAGCAUCUCAUUGUAAAUGUCCAAUUCUUCUCAUACUACAAAUCAUUUCCAGGGAGGAAAAGAGACGACCUUCGAAAAACCUUGAUCAAUCAGUCAUGUGUUUUUAUCCACCGUCACUAAAUGAUGCAUGUUUUCCUUUGACUAGAUUCAAUAAAUGUGUUGUUUUGAAUCAGUUUCUUUGAAUUGAAAGAAGCCAAGAAAGACAAAAACAAAUGCUUUCAUUAAAAGCAUAAGAACAAUGUAUUGGCUGGGUGGUGGUCAUUUCGGAGGAAGGAAUACUUGGGUUACUUAUCCACAAGUCUUGAACGAAUUUGCACAAACAAGAAUUAUUGUUCACACCCAUGGAACACUUGGGUAAGUGAUCCAAUGAGAUCUUGGAUUGGAAAGGAGCAAAAUAAAUUUGUUCAGAUACUUGGGGAUAUUGGUAUGCUGAUGAGUAGCUGAAUUCAUUUCACUAAGGAAGCUCCCUACAUAGAGAAUUCCUUCAGAAUUCGUGAAGUAUUUUGA